UUAGUGGCGGACGGGUGAGUAACGCGUGGAUAACCUGCCGUAUACAGGGGGAUAACACUUAGAAAUAGGUGCUAAUACCGCAUAAGCGCACGGUUCCGCAUGGAACAGUGUGAAAAACUCCGGUGGUAUACGAUGGAUCAGCGUCUGAUUAGCCAGUUGGUGGGGUAACGGCCCACCAAAGCGACGAUCAGUAGCCGGCCUGAGAGGGUGAACGGCCACAUUGGGACUGAGACACGGCCCAAACUCCUACGGGAGGCAGCAG
rnacentral:rRNA from 1 species